AACCCACCAGUUCCUCUGGCUCCCAGUGUGAAACAACAAAGGAAGGGGACAUUCCUGAUGGUUCCAUGAACAUACACUGAGUUUUGCUUUGGAGGGAGAUCAUCAGAUCUUUCAAAGAGAUAGAAGGUCCUGGUAUUUAACAAAACACUGCAUCAUUGGCUGAUGAUUGACUGAAUCAGGCUGCUUUUUCAUAUGGCUUGUGACUAAAAAACAGUAAUUUGGAAUUAGUUUUUAUGGUUUUAUAUCAGAUUGUUUCUUCAGGGUAAAGAUCAUUGCUA
rnacentral:lncRNA from 1 species